rnacentral:rRNA from 1 species
GACGAACGCUGGCGGCGUGCCUAAUACAUGCCAGUAGAACGCUGAAGGAGGAGCUUGCUCUUCUGGAUGAGUUGCGAACGGGUGAGUAACGCGUAGGUAACCUGCCUGGUAGCGGGGGAUAACUAUUGGAAACGAUAGCUAAUACCGCAUAACAGUAGAUGUUGCAUGACAUUUACUUAAAAGGUGCAAUUGCAUCACUACCAGAUGGACCUGCGUUGUAUUAGCUAGUUGGUGGGGUAACGGCCCACCAAGGCGACGAUACAUAGCCGACCUGAGAGGGUGAUCGGCCACACUGGGACUGAGACACGGCCCAGACUCCUACGGGAGGCAGCAGUAGGGAAUCUUCGGCAAUGGACGGAAGUCUGACCGAGCAACGCCGCGUGAGUGAAGAAGGUUUUCGGAUCGUAAAGCUCUGUUGUAAGAGAAGAACGAGGGUGAGAGUGGAAAGUUCACACUGUGACGGUAUCUUACCAGAAAGGGACGGCUAACUACGUG